UACGUAGGGGGCAAGCGUUGUCCGGAUUUAUUGGGCGUAAAGAGCGUGUAGGCGGCUUUGCAAGUCCGUUGUGAAAACUCGAGGCUCAACCUCGAGACGCCGGUGGAAACUGCAAAUCUCGAGUCCGGAAGAGGUGAGUGGAAUUCCUAGUGUAGAGGUGAAAUUCGUAGAUAUUAGGAAGAACACCAGUGGCGAAGGCGGCUCACUGGUCCGGUACUGACGCUGAGGUGCGAAAGCGUGGGGAGCAAACAGG
rnacentral:rRNA from 1 species